AAGAGUUGGCAAAACUCCCACAAACCAUCGCGAACGUUACCACACAUAAGUUGCUUCGGCGCGCCGCUCCCGGGUCCACACCGGGGCGCCGCCGGAGUGGCCGUAUACAAACUCUUAUUAUAAACCAGGUUACAUCUGAGUACUAUACUUAAUAAGUAA
rnacentral:misc_RNA from 1 species